rnacentral:tRNA from 4 species
AUUACUUUGGCAGAUUAGUGCAAUAAAUUUAGAAUUUAUAUAGGUAAUUAUAUUACAAGUAAUA